UACGUAGGGUGCAAGCGUUGUCCGGAAUUAUUGGGCGUAAAGAGCUCGUAGGCGGUUCGUCGCGUCGGCUGUGAAAACCUGAGGCUCAACCUCAGGCCUGCAGUCGAUACGGGCGGACUUGAGUACUGCAGGGGAGACUGGAAUUCCUGGUGUAGCGGCGAAAAUGCGCAGAUAUCAGGAGGAACACCGGUGGCGAAGGCGGGUCUCUGGGCAGUAACUGACGCUGAGGAGCGAAAGCGUGGGGAGCGAACAGG
rnacentral:rRNA from 1 species